rnacentral:tRNA from 1 species
CGGGGUGUAGCGUAGUUGGCUAGCGCGCAAGCAUGGGGUGCUUGAGGUCGCGGGUUCAAGUCCCGCCACUCCGACCA